rnacentral:tRNA from 1 species
GCCCGGGUGGCGAAAUUGGUAGACGCAAAGGACUUAAAAUCCUUCGGUGCUAUGCACUGUGUGGGUUCGACUCCCACCCCGGGCACCA